AUUGAACGCUGGCGGCAUGCCUUACACAUGCAAGUCGAACGGCAGCACGGGAGCAAUCCUGGUGGCGAGUGGCGAACGGGUGAGUAAAGUAUCGGAACGUGCCCAGUCGUGGGGGAUCACGUAGCGAAAGUUACGCUAAUACCGCAUACGAUCUAUGGAUGAAAGCGGGGGAUCGCCAGAACUCGCGCGAUUGGAGCGGCCGAUAUCAGAUUAGGUAGUUGGUGGGGUAAAGGCUCACCAAGCCGACGAUCUGUAGCUGGUCUGAGAGGACGACCAGCCACACUGGGACUGAGACACGGCCCAGACUCCUACGGGAGGCAGCAGUGGGGAAUUUUGGACAAUGGGCGCAAGCCUGAUCCAGCCAUGCCGCGUGCAGGAUGAAGGCCUUCGGGUUGUAAACUGCUUUUGUACGGAACGAAAAGGUUUGACUUAAUACGUUGGACUCAUGACGGUACCGUAAGAAUAAGCACCGGCUAACUACGUGCCAGCCGCCGCAGUAA
rnacentral:rRNA from 1 species